rnacentral:lncRNA from 1 species
AUUGUUCUUUUUUUUGUUUGUUUUUAGUUAAGUUUUUUGUUUUUUGUUUUUUCUUUUUUUUGGGGUUUAUUUGGUAUAGGGAGGGGGAUGUUUAUAAGCACUGACACUGACAGGUCAAAAUGAAUAAACUUGUAUUGUAUUCUUCUUUAUAAAAAAAAAAUGCAUAUAAAUAUUGUAUGAGAUGAAGAAAUACCGAAAAAAGAAUUAUAAAAAAAAAGAGAGAGCGACCUAACCACACAAAAACAAAAAAGACAUCUAGAAGUCAACGAGC